GACGAACGCUGGCGGCGUGCCUAAUACAUGCAAGUCGAGCGGACCGGAUUGGGGCUUGCCUUGAUUCGGUCAGCGGCGGACGGGUGAGUAACACGUGGGCAACCUGCCCGCAAGACCGGGAUAACUCCGGGAAACCGGAGCUAAUACCGGAUAACACCGAAGACCGCAUGGUCUUCGGUUGAAAGGCGGCCUUUGGGCUGUCACUUGCUGAUGGGCCCGCGGCGCAUUAGCUAGUUGGUGAGGUAACGGCUCACCAAGGCGACGAUGCGUAGCCGGCCUGAGAGGGUGACCGGCCACACUGGGACUGAGACACGGCCCAGACUCCUACGGGAGGCAGCAGUAGGGAAUCUUCCGCAAUGGGCGAAAGCCUGACGGAGCGACGCCGCGUGAGCGAAGAAGGCCUUCGGGUCGUAAAGCUCUGUUGUGAGGGACGAAGGAGCGUCGUUCGAAGAGGGCGGCGCGGUGACGGUACCUCACGAGAAAGCCCCGGCUAACUACGUG
rnacentral:rRNA from 1 species